rnacentral:rRNA from 1 species
AGUGAACGCUGGCGGUAGGCCUAACACAUGCAAGUCGAACGGCAGCACAGUAAGAGCUUGCUCUUACGGGUGGCGAGUGGCGGACGGGUGAGGAAUACAUCGGAAUCUACUUUUUCGUGGGGGAUAACGUAGGGAAACUUACGCUAAUACCGCAUACGACCUACGGGUGAAAGCAGGGGAUCUUCGGACCUUGCGCGAUUGAAUGAGCCGAUGUCGGAUUAGCUAGUUGGCGGGGUAAAGGCCCACCAAGGCGACGAUCCGUAGCUGGUCUGAGAGGAUGAUCAGCCACACUGGAACUGAGACACGGUCCAGACUCCUACGGGAGGCAGCAGUGGGGAAUAUUGGACAAUGGGCGCAAGCCUGAUCCAGCCAUAGCGCGUGGGUGAAGAAGGCCUUCGGGUUGUAAAGCCCUUUUGUUGGGAAUGAAAAGCAGCAGGUUAAUACCCCGCUGUUCUGACGGUACCCAAAGAAUAAGCACCGGCUAACUUCGUG